rnacentral:rRNA from 1 species
GACGAACGCUGGCGGCGUGCUUAACACAUGCCAGUCGAACGGUGAAGCGCCUUCCUUUUUGGUGGGUGUGGAUGAGUGGCGAACUGGUGAGUAACACGUGAGUAACCUGCCCCCUUCUUCUGGAUAACCGCAUGCAAGUGUGGCUAAUACGGGAUAUUCUGGGUCUGUCGCAUGAUGGGUCUGGGACAGAUAUUGUUUCGGUGGGGGAUGGGCUCGCGGCUUAUCAGCUUGUUGGUGGGGUGAUGGCCUACCAAGGCGGUGACGAGUAGCCGGCCUGAGAGGAUGGACGGCAAUACAAGGACGGAGACACGGAGCAGACUCCGACGGGAGGCAGCAGUGGGGAAUAGGGCACAAGGGGCGGAAGGCUGAUGCAGCGACGCCGCGGGAGGGAUGGAGGCCGGCGGGUUGUGAACCUCUUUCGCCAGUGAAGCAAGCCUGCCGCGUUUGUGGGUGGGUUGACGGUAGCUGGAGAAGAAGCGCCGGCUAACUACGUG